rnacentral:rRNA from 1 species
CUCAGAGUGAACGCUGGCGGCAGGCCUAACACAUGCAAGUCGAACGGCAGCACAGUAAGAGCUUGCUCUUAUGGGUGGCGAGUGGCGGACGGGUGAGGAAUACAUCGGAAUCUACUCUUUCGUGGGGGAUAACGUAGGGAAACUUACGCUAAUACCGCAUACGACCUACGGGUGAAAGCGGAGGACCUUCGGGCUUCGCGCGAUUGAAUGAGCCGAUGUCGGAUUAGCUAGUUGGCGGGGUAAAGGCCCACCAAGGCGACGAUCCGUAGCUGGUCUGAGAGGAUGAUCAGCCACACUGGAACUGAGACACGGUCCAGACUCCUACGGGAGGCAGCAGUGGGGAAUAUUGGACAAUGGGCGCAAGCCUGAUCCAGCCAUGCCGCGUGGGUGAAGAAGGCCUUCGGGUUGUAAAGCCCUUUUGUUGGGAAAGAAAAGCAAUCGGUU